UACAGAGGGUGCGAGCGUUGUCCGGAAUCACUGGGCGUAAAGGGCGCGUAGGUGGCGGCCCAAGUCUGUGGUGAAAGCUCGCCGCUUAACGGCGAGUCGGCCACGGAGACUGGGUGGCUCGAGCACUGUAGGGGCAGAUGGAAUUCCGGGUGUAGCGGUGGAAUGCGUAGAGAUCCGGAAGAACACCAGUGGCGAAGGCGGUCUUCUGGACGGAUACUGACGCUGAUACGCGAAAGCGUGGGGAGCAAACAGG
rnacentral:rRNA from 1 species